GUCUACCUGGAGGUGUGACAACCGAGGUGGCCCUGAACCGUCUGCGCCACAGUGUGACUGUAUGCUUAUUUCAAAGGUGGUGGCGCUAUUGUGGAGCCUUUAGGAAGCAGAGCUUUGCUGGAGAAGACAUGAUUAUGAUGAGGCCACACCGGACCUGCAUCCAGUGACUAGUGAUUUUGCUAGAAGAGGAAAUGACACAGCUCAAGAGAAGGGAAGUGAAGACAGGGGCAGCGACUGGAUCAGGAGCCACCACAAGCUGAAAGUAGGAGCAGGGAUAUGACACACUGUGGAAGACCAUUUUAGGACCUCAGCCUGGAUCCCCAGAACCCACAUAAGACUAGGCAUGGUUGUUUGUGCUUGUGACCCCAGGAGUGUGAGGAGUGGAAACAGGAGGAUUACAGGGGCUUGCUGCCUACCAGCUCAGCUCCAGGUUCAGUGACACAAAUCAG